UCCCCAGAAGCCGCCAUGCUUCCUGUACAGCCUGAGGAACGACUUCCUGUGGUAGGCAAAGUGAUGGCCCUCCAAAGAUGUCUACAUCCCAACUACUGGAACCUAUGACUAUGUUACAUUACAUGACAAAAGGGACUUUUCAGGUGUGAAUAAUGUUAGAGACCUUGAAAUGGAGAUAUCUUGGAUUUUCUUGGUGGACCCAAUGUAACUACAUGAAUCUUUACAAAUACAAUACAGAAGAAGGGUGGGUCAGAGAGAUGCUAUGUAAGAAGGAUUUGAUCUGUUGUUCCAA
rnacentral:lncRNA from 10 species